rnacentral:tRNA from 1 species
CGAUGACUUUGAUAAACGCUGCAUGUAUGCCGCAUUCGGAUUGCGGCGACUCCUACAUGAGACGGGUUUGACGCCUGUGAUCGUUGGC